CCUGGUUGAUCCUGCCAGUAGUCAUAUGCUUGUCUCAAAGAUUAAGCCAUGCAUGUCUAAGUACAAGCCUCACUAAGGUGAAACCGCGAAUGGCUCAUUAAAUCACACCUAAUCUACAGGAUAAUUCAAGUUACUUGGAUAACUGCGGUAAUUCUGGAGCUAAUACAUGCUACAAACUGCAAACUUACGUGAGCAGUGCUUUUAUUAGAUCAAAACCAAACGUCCUCGGACGUACUCUUGGUGACUCUGAAUAACUUUGUGCAGAUCGUAUAGCCUAGUGCUGACGACAUAUCCUUCGAAGGUGUGCCCUAUCAACUGUCGACUGUGGCAUAGACGCCCACAGCGGUGUUGACGGGUAACGGUGAAUUAGGGUUCGAUUCCGGAGAGGGAGCCUUAAAAACGGCUACCACAUCUAAGGAAGGCAGCAGGCACGCAAAUUACCCAAUGAACGAAGUUCGAGGUAGUGACGAAAAAUAACGAUAGCGGACUCAUCCGAGGCCCGCUAAUUGGAAUGAGUACACUUUAAAACCGUCCCCGAGGAUCUAUUGGAGGGCAAGUCUGGUGCCAGCAGCCGCGGUAAUUCCAGCUCCAAUAGCGUAUAUUAAAGUUGUUGUGGUUAAAAAGCUCGUAGUUGGAUCUCAACAGACUUGGAUCGGUUUACUUUGUGUAAUACUGAUCCAAAGCUGUGCUUUUGUCGGAGGUUUAGGGGUGCUCUUAACCGAGUGUCUCUGAGUGCCGACAGGUUUACUUUGAAAAAAUUAGAGUGCUUCAAGCAGGCUGUUAUGCCAGAAUAUUUGUGCAUGGAAUAAUAGAAUAGGAUGUUGAUCUUAUUUUGUUGGUUUUCGAGACUUGACAUAAUGAUUAAUAGGGAUAGUCAGGGGCACUUGUAUUCCGUUGAGAGAGGUGAAAUUCUUAGACCAAUGGAAGACGAACUUCUGCGAAAGCAUUUGCCAGGGAUGUUUUCACUGAUCAAGAACGAAAGUAAGGGGAUCGAAGAUGAUCAGAUACCGUCGUAGUCUUUACCAUAAACCAUGCCGACUAGGGAUUGGAGGAUGUUCA
rnacentral:rRNA from 1 species